rnacentral:rRNA from 1 species
GACGAACCGAGCGAACGUUGUUCGGAAUCACUGGGCUUAAAGGGCGCGUAGGCGGGUUCUCAAGUCCGGGGUGAAAUCCCACAGCUCAACUGUGGAACUGCCUCGGAUACUGGGGGCCUCGAGGGUGGUAGGGGUAUGCGGAACUAUCGGUGGAGCGGUGAAAUGCGUUGAUAUCGAUAGGAACUCCGGUGGCGAAAGCGGCAUACUGGACCACAUCUGACGCUGAGGCGCGAAAGCCAGGGGAGCAAACGGG